GACGAACGCUGGCGGCGCGCUUAACACAUGCAAGUCGAGCGAAGCGGCGGACGGGUGAGUAACACGUGAGUAACCUGCCUUAGACAUUGGGAUAGCCUCGGGAAACCGGGAUUAAUACCAAAUGGUCUAAGAUGGACUCGCGUCCCAUUAGCUAGUUGGUGAGGUAACGGCCCACCAAGGCGACGAUGGGUAGCCGGCAUGGGAGGGUGAACGGCCACAUUGGAACUGAGAAACGGUCCAACCUCUACGGGAUGGAGCAGUGUGGAAUAUUGCACAAUGGAGGGAACUCUGAUGCAGCUAGGCGCCGUGAACGAAGAAGGUUUUCGAGUCGUAAAGUUCUUUUAUAUGGGAAGCGGUACCAUAAGAAAAAGCCCCGGCUAACUACGUGCCAGCAGCCGCGGUAAUAC
rnacentral:rRNA from 1 species